rnacentral:lncRNA from 1 species
GCGGAAGAAGUGUUUUGUGAUUCUGGGCCCUAAUGUAGUGAUGUAAUAAUAUGGUGAUGUCAUUUUGUGAUCUUGUUUAGGUUUAUGGGGUUCAUUAAGUGUCUGUUUCAUACAACAUGUUGUCCUAGAAAGUACACUAUAUAUAUAUACAAAAGUAUGUGGACACCACUUCAACUUAAUGGAUUCAGCUAUUUCAGCCACACCCGUUGCUGACAGGUGUAUAAAAUCAAGCGCACAGUCAUGUAAUAUCCAUAGACAAACAUUGGCAGUAGAAUGGCCUUACUGAAGAAGUCCGCGACUUUUGACGUGGCACCGUCAUAGGAUGCCACCGGUAGCAACACUGACUACCGAGUUUCAAACUGCCUCUGGAAGCAACAUCAGCACAAGAACUCUUGAAAUGGGUUUCCAUGGCCGAGCAGCUGCACACAAGCCUAAGAUCGCCAUGAGCAAUGCCCAGUGUCGGCUGGAAUGGUAUAAAGCUUGCCGCCAUUGGACUCUGGAGCAGUGAAAACGAGUUCUCUCGAGUGAUGAAUCACGCUUCACCAUCUGGCAGUCCGACGGAUUAAUCUGGGUUUGACGGAUGCCAGGGGAACUCUACCUGCAUGAAUGCAUAGUGCCAACUGUAAAGUUUGGUGGAGGAGGAAUAAUAGUCUGGGGCUGCUUUUCAUGGUUUGGGCUAGGCCCCUUAGUUCCAGUGAAGGGAAACUUUAACACUACAGCAUAAAAUUACAUUCUAGACGAUUCUGUGCUUCAGACUUUGUGGCAACAGUUUGGGGAAGGCCCUUCACUUUUUCAGCAUGACAACGCCACCAUGCGCAAAGCGAGGUCCACACAGAAAUGGUUUGUCGAGAUCGUUGUGGAAAAACUUGACUGGCCUUUACAGAGCCCUGACCUCAACCCCAUCGAACAACUUUGGGAUGAAUUAGAACGCUGACUGCAAGCCGGGCCUAAUAGGCCAACAUCAGUGCCCGACCUCACUAAUGCUCUUGUGGCUGAACGGAAGCAAGUCCCCGCAGCAAUGUUCCAACAUCUAGUGGAAACCCCAUAUUAAUACCCAUGAUUUUGGAAUGAGAUGUUCGAUAAGCAGCAGGCAUGGAAAGAGGACAGGGGAAGGGGGAAGUACAGAAGAAGAGAGAGAUGGAGAGGGAGAUCAGCGAGAGAAUGACAGAGGAGAGACAGAAUGACAGAGAGGGAGGCAAAGAGUGUUAAGCCAAGAUAAGGAGAGGGGGGAAGAGAGCAAGCCAAAGUUGCAAAGCUUAAAUAAUUACCUACUCCUCUGAUCCUUCUGGAAAUCCAAUAUAAAUGUUUAGUGUGAGCAUAGUGCUACAACUGUAUAAGUAUCUGAGUGUGGAGGGUUACUCUCACUGAGCUGGGCUGCAGGGAGGAAAGAAGAGACCUGGCAUCCACUACACUGAGACACACAUAGUCAGCCCUCUCCUCACCGAUUUAGAUAGGUAGACUUUAUUGUCCUCAAAGACCACCUUUCUCUUCAUUUACCAUCUUCUUAGUUAUUCAAUUGUAUUAGCUAGCCAGAUAGUCAUUCAAAAUACAUCUUUCAAACGGGACCUUUCUCCUAACCACUUACUGGCUCUUCAUGUGAACUUGACACACCCUCCUAACCCGUACCUAUCAUUGACUGGGACUAUCUGCUAUAACUUCAAUUUAGACUGCCAGAAAUGGCCCGUAUAUAUUCAUGCAGAACAUUAAUAUUGGAUGAGAGAACCCUUAGGGGUUGAGUCGGGACAGAUCUGUCUGGCUCGUCACACACCUUGCACAUCAACACCACCACAGGCUGGUUCUAGAACAUUCCCAUAAUGUUCCAUAACGUUCCAUAAUAAUAGCAAGCUUUUCAGAAUGUUCUUGAAACCUAAACCUAAAACAAAAGCAUCAAAACCCUUGAAGCUGAUAGCAUAUCUUUACAUUAUAGCAUUUGAUCAACACAUGAAAAUGGCACACCAUUGGAAUGCUAUGUUUUUUCCUGCAUAGCAUAACAUACACUGAGAAAUGUAUAGACUAAAAACUAUUCCAAAAUAGCCCACAGAGAUGUUCAAGUGGCUGUAUGAUGACUUUCAGCUGUGAUGUCCCUUCUGUUUUGUUUCCAUCAUCUCAGCCAUGUUGUGUUUCCCCUAAAUAUAUUGAGCAUUUUGAUUGGUUUAACCAUGACCUCUAACCCCUAACCUAUAACCCUGAUUGGCAGUCCGUCUGGGGUCAAGGCAGGCCAGGCUAGUCAUCAUUUGGAGGUCAGUGACUCCAUAUAAAAUGAAACUCUCAUUGUGGUGUUGUUGCUAUUGAAUGCCAGCGGGUUGAAUGCAUCAAAGCACCAGUAAACCAGCUUAAUUUUACCCCAUUUUAUACACUUUAAAUCAGUGUAAUUGCUAACAGAUUCCCAUGUACUGAUCUGUGUGUCCCUCUAUCUAAUUGCGGCCUCCAUUUUUAUUUAUUUUUUUCUGCAUAGACACGCUUUUAAAAUUGCACAUUUAAGACCCGCCCCCCACCGCUUCUGAAAAAAGUCCUGGGGGAAACACUGCACAGCACACACAUCCUUAGUAUUUCAUGGUAUAUUUAAAACCAUGACAACUGCACACACAUUUGCCUGUCCUUUCAUUCCCUAUAGCCAGGAGCACCCACCCACUGACACGCACACACACACACACACACACACACACACACACACACACACACACACACACACACACACACACACACACACACACACACACACACACACACACACACACACACACACACACACACACACACACACACACACACCUGCAGUUCAGACUCACAGAACACUAAUGCACACACUUUCUCUCUCUUCUAGUCCGGCAUGUUCUCUAAGAAACUCCCAAACACUUGCUCUAACGAAAGACGGAAAGAUAGAAAGACAGAUAAAAUAACCUCCACCAUUCACCCUACAUGAUCUGAGAAACACAGGAACAUUUACAUCAAAGAAAGAAAGAAAGAAAGAAAGAAAGAAAGAAAGAAAGAAAGAAAGAAAGAAAGAAAGAAAGAAAGAAAGAAAGAAAGAAAGAAAGAAAGAAAGAAAGAAAGAAAGAAAGAAAGAAAAAGAAAACCAAGAGCCCUACCGGAGGACCCCGUCCACGGGGAACAAGGGAUGAAGGAAGGAGAGAAAACGUGCCUGUCCACCAAACGAACGAAACGCCCGCCUCCCACACUCUUUCACCGAAUCAAUUUCACACUCUCUCACCUCCCCACCACUAUGAUGUCAUUCAUUCAUCCGUUUCCCCGUUGCUAUGGCAAAGCCGCCGCUUGGAGAGUCGGUUCUUUACAUUAUUCUCCCCCAUCUCUCUGUCCAACCCCCACCUCCCCUUCCAACCCAUUCUGAGGGGUGCAGAAACGUCCCACCCAGAAGCCUCC